CGGGGUGUAGCGCAGUUCGGCAGCGCACCGCGUUUGGGACGCGGGGGUCGGCGGUUCGAGUCCGCCCGCCCCGACCA
rnacentral:tRNA from 1 species